GGGGAUUUAGCUCAGUGGCAGAGCGCUUGCCUAGCAAGCGCAAGGCCCUGGGUUCGAUCCCCAGCUCCG
rnacentral:tRNA from 1 species